CCAAAUUCGAUAAAGCUAUCUUUUGUAGUGCCUACAAAUGCACUCUCGAGCGCCAUACACCUGAAGGUGCUCAAAUUCUCAGGAUGUUAAUCAAGUUCAAACAAUGAUUAAACUUGAUUCUUGUUACCACCUUGGUCAUCAUAUCUGCGGGAUUAUCUGCUGUUGGAAUCUUCUGAAGUAGAAUUUUUCCUUUUUCAAAGACUUCCCGCACAAAGUGAUAUCUUACGUCUAUAUGUUUGGUUCUUGAAUGAUAGACUUGAUUUUUCGCUAAAUGAAUAGCGCUCUAACUGUCACAAUAUAAACUUAUGUGACUUUGAACAACUCCUAAGUCUUUCAACAAUCCAUUAAGCCAAAUAGCCUCCUUAACAGCUUCUGUAACUGCCAUAUAUUCUGCCUCUGUAGUAGACACAGCUACUGUAGACUGUAAGGUAGACUUCCAACUCACUGGGGCUUUCGCAAGAGUAAACAGAUACCCCGUAGUUGAACGACGUUUAUCUAAAUCACCAACAAAGUCGGAAUCAACAUAUCCAACUACAAACUGACCAAGUGCUUCAUCCUGUUCAAAAAUUAAACCAACAUCUACGGUUUUUCGAAGAUACCGUAGAAUCCAUUUCACAGCUUGCCAAUGUCCUUUUCCAGGAUCAUGCAUAUACCUGCUCACAACUCCAACAACUUGUGAAAUGUCAGGCCGCGUACACACCAUCGCAUACAUCAAACUCCCAACUGCAUUAGCAUAUGGGACUUUUGCCAUAUAUUCUCUUUCUUCUUCAAUUUUCGGAGAUAAUUGAGCACUAAGUUUCAAAUGAGAAGCAAGUGGGGUACUUACAUGUUUUGUGUUUUCAUUUACACCAAAACAUUGUAAUACCUUUUUCAGAUAUUGCUUCUGAUUCAAACAAAGCUUGCCUCUCUGUCUAUCUCUACUUAUCUCCAUGCCGAGAAUUUUCUUGGCAUCACCUAGAUCUUUCAUUUCGAACUCUUGAUUCAACUGAGCCUUCAGCUUAUCUAUCUCUUUUUGGCUCUUCGAAGCGAUUAACAUAUCAUCAACAUACAAGAGUAGAUAAAUGAAAGAUCCGUCAUGCAGCUUCUGCAAAUACACACAAUUGUCAUAUUUGCUUCUUGUGUACUUCUGCCUUCUCAUAAAGCUAUCAAAUCGCUUGUACCACUGCCUCGGGGAUUGCUUCAAUCCAUAUAGCGAUUUGUUCAGCUUACAAACUCAAUUUCUACCACCAGCAUUUGUGUAUCCUUCGGGCUGAGUCAUAUAGAUCUCCUCUUCUAACUCACCAUGCAAGAAAGCCAUCUUAACAUCAAGUUGAGCUAGCUCCAAAUUCAACUGUGCUACCAAGGCCAACAAAAUUCUAAUGGAGGAAUGCUUCACAACAGGGGAAAAUACAUCAUUGUAGUCAAUUCCCUCCUUCUGAGCGUAGCCUUUAGCUACCAAUCUUGCCUUGUAGCGAAUAUCCUUCUUGCUAGGAGAUCCAUCUUUCUUUGCGAAUACCCACUUGCAUCCGAUUGCCCUUUUACCUUUCGGUAAUUGCGCAAACUCCCAAGUAUUGUUCUUCCGGAGAGACUGCAUUUCUUCAUCCAUGGCGCUUUUCCAUUUAUCACUUUUUAAGCUUUGCAUUGCUUUUUGAUAAGUGAUAGGAAUAUCAUCAACAACAGGAAGGGCGUAGGCCACCAUAUCAGUAAAUCGAAUAGGUUUACGAAUUUCUCUCCGUGGCCUUGCAACUGCAACUGGUUCUGGUGUACUUAGUGGUUCUUGGGUCAGAACCUCUUCAACCUCUAAUUCCUCUAUUGUGGCUGGAGAAUUAGACUUAUUAACUGGGCAAAUCCCCAUCUGCUCAAACUCCACCUGUUUUGGAGUACACUCCACCUGCUGUGGAGUAUUGCUCGUCUGAAUAUCUUUAUCUGCUACCUUUUUCAAUGUGGCAGAUUCAUCAAAGGUAACAUCUCUGCUACAGAUCAUUUUCUUUGUGCUUAAGCACCAAAGACGAAAUCCCUUCACUCCAGAAGUGAUUCCCAUAAAGAGAGCUUUCUUUGCCCUCGGAUCUAACUUUGACUCCUUCACAUGGUAAUAUGCAGUGGUUUCAAACACAUGUAAGGAAUCAUAAUCUGUAGCCGGUUUUCCAGACCAUACCUCCAUAGGAGUUUUUCUUUCUAAUACAGAUGAUGGCAAACGAUUAACAAGAUGGCCAGCGUAUGUCACAGCCUCAGCCCAAAAUUGCUUGCCCAACCCAGCAUUGGACAACAUACAUCGAACUUUCCCCAGCAAUGUUCGAUUCAUACGCUCUGCCAAUCCAUUCUGCUGUGGUGUAUCCCUAACUGUGAAGUGUCGAACAAUACCAUACUCUUGGCACACAUCGAAGAACGGAUCACUUUUAUAUUCCCCUCCAUUGUCCGUCCUAAGCCGCUUGAUUUUCUUGCCAGUCUGGUUUCCGAUCAUAGUUUUCCAUUUAAGAAAAACUCUAAGCACUUCAUCCUUAGUUCUCAUGGUAUACACCCAAACUCUUCUGGAAAAGUCAUCAACAAAAGUAACAAAGUAGUGUUUUCCUCCCAAUGAAGGUGUCUUGGAAGGCCCCCACACAUCUGAGUGAACAUAUUCCAAAAUACCUUUUGUAUUAUGGAUAGCAGUACCGAAUUUCACUCUCUUUUGCUUUCCCAGAACACAAUGCUCGCAAAAUUUUAAUUUGCAAGCCUUUGCACCUUUCAACAAUCCUUACUUUGCCAGAAUUUGCAAGGAUUUUUCGCUGGCAUGUCCCAACUUCAUAUGCCACAACUGCAUUGAGUCCAAUUCUUUGUUACCGGAAGCUAUAGCGACUGCUCCAAUAACUGUACUACCUUGGUAGUAAUACAAGUUAUUUUUCCUGAUGCCCUUCAAUAUCACAAGUGCGCCAGAUGUCACUUUCAAAAUCCCAUCUCUCAUAGUAACAACUGAACCAUUGGAUUCCAGGGCUCCCAAUGAGAUGAGAUUUUUCUUCAAACUGGGCACGUACCGAACAUCAGUCAGAACUCUGGUUGAUCCAUCUUGAUUCUUUAAUUGGAUUGAACCUAUCCCAACAGUUUUACAGGCAUUGUCAUUGCCCAUAUAAACAACUCCUCCAUUUAGUUCUACUAAAUUAGAGAACCACUCCCGGUUAGGGGACAUAUGAUAGGUACAACCCGAAUCCAAUAUCCACUCAUCUGAAUGGAACGACGAUGAUGAUGCAACCAGUGAUAGUUCAGAGUCACUGGUAUCAUGCUUUGCAACACAAGCAUCUACAGCAGCUUUUCCCUUAUUCUUCAGCUUUGGACAAUUUUUCUUCUAGUGGCCUUUCUCAUGACAAAAAGCACAUUCAUCUUUCCCGAGUCUGGACUUUGACUUUGAUCUCCCCUUUUGAGUUUUCUUCCGAGUGUAUGAACGACCUCGGACUACUAAAGCUUCUGUAUCUCUGAUUGAGUUUUUCUGUUUGUCCUUCUUUCUCUGUUCAUAACUGUAUAAGGCCGCACAGACUUCGCUCAGAGAUAUAUCACUCCUGCCAUGAAGUAGAGUAGUUUCUAGGAACUCAAACUCCUCAGGAAGUGACCCCAACAGCAUCAAAGCCAAAUCUUCAUCUUUGAAUGUCUCAUCCAUAUUCAGUAAAUCAGUGACUAACUGAUUAAAUUUGGUGAUGUGAUCAUUCAUUGUGGUACUUGGGACGUAAGUGAAGCGAAACAGUCUUUUCUUCAAGUGGAGCUUAUUUUGACUGUUUUUCUUCAAAAAUUUUUCUUCAAUUGCCACCCACAACUUAUUUGCAGAAGUCUCCUUUGAAAAAGCAUACCUCUGCUCUCGAGAAAGGCAUGAUCGAAUUGUGCCACAUGCCAACCGAUUGAUCGCCUUCCAAUCUUUCUCCUGUACAUCAUCUGGUUUCUCUUCAUCAAUGGCAAUGUCUACACCCUGCUGAAAAAGGGCAUCUAGAACCUCACUUUGCCACAUACCAAAAUGGCCCGUGCCAUCAAAGAUCUCCACGGCCAAUCUUGCAUUUGCAAUUGUCGGUCUUGUCCACAUGGACGAUGUUGAAGCUCCUACACCGACCGUUUUCUCCAUAAUCUUUCAAUAUACCUAAGAAAAUCUUUUCUGAUGUGGAAGAUCAGUUUAAACUGCAACCACAGAGCAUACUACGAUUAACCUUCGGCUCUUGAUACCACUUGUUGUUCCAAUAGGGUCGGAAGCGUGUAAAUUAUUGUACUAAAAAUCACACAAAGUUCAAUUCCCAGGGAAGAGAGGUGGAUCACAUGGAUCUCUUAAAUACCAAGUCUUUCCUUAGACAGAAUAUCCCUUCUAUAGUAAUUUAAUAGAACAAUUAAAUACUACUAUUAUACCCUCAAAUAUUGAAAGAAAAAUAGGAUAAGAAAGAACACAAGAGAUUUAACGAGGUUCGGUAAAUUAUACUUACGUCCUCGGGCACUAACACCAGAUGAUAACUUUACUAUCUCCAAAGUAUUACAAACAAAUAGAAUUCCUUAAGAAUUCUCAAAUGGGAGAAGAGAGAAAACUAAGAGAGAAAGAUUGGUUGGGAUGAAUUGAAAUGAGAAAUGAGAAGGCCUAUUUAUAGUUGAGGUUUAAGGACCAAACAAUAAAUAGCCCAUUAUCUCAAGGACCAAAAAAAAAAUAUCCUAUGCCACUUUUUCAAAGUCAACUUUAGGGUGCUAAACUUGCACCACUUUGUAUUGUUUGCCAUUAAUGUUGUCUACCAUUAAUGUUAACAGCUGGAUCUUUCAUUUGGUUUCUCAUCUGUUCUUGUAAAUCAGCAGUUGAUGUAGGCAAAUUCGACUGAGAACAUUGGAUUCGGAAAACGACUAGAAGAACUGGUUUCACCAAAACCAUUAUUCCCAUUGGAGACAGAUGCCGUCUGAAAUUCUGGAUAUUUUACCUCAGCAUCUGAAUCCAGUCUGCUACUCUUUACAGCUGUUGAUGUGGAAAUAGAGUCAUUCCCUUCCAAAGAGGCUGCUGCUUCAAACAUUUUCUGAAGCUCCUCUGGAGGCAUCUUGGUCAUCAUAUCAGUUGCAGAUUUAAGCAUGUCAGGUGUUACAUUGGGAUGAACUGAUCCAGGUCCAAAUCCAAUUGAACCAUUUUUUGUAGCUGUUCAGGUGACAUUUUACCGAUCAUAUUUGUAGCAGUCUUAAACAAGUCUGGUGACACCUCUCCAACUUUACCGCCACUCAAAGCAGAAAGGGUAUAAGGAUCUGCAUUAGAAAUGAAUUUCUGAAACGAUCUGCUAAUACAAGGGGAAACGGGAGAAUUGUCAAUUUUGGGACCUACUAAAUUAAUAAUAGAGCACAAAAAAUUGAUUCAGCACAGACCACAAACUUUUAGUUCUACAAGUUCUACUUCUAGCAACAGUAACCUUUUUAAGUUCAUAAUCUCAUUAUCCACCAUGGACAUGCAUCAAAGCGAAUUGUAAUUAUUUGCAUACUAUAAGGUGAUAAUAUAAAUUAAUGCCGCUAAGAUUUAAAGCUAAAACAACGAGAAAUAAAGAGAGCAGAAACCGUAAAGGAUCUUCAAGUAUCAAAGUUCACAUCAUUUUUUAUAUAUUCGACAGCAUAGAUGACAUAAUAUGGCAUUACCAGAUUAAGUAAUUGACCACCAAACAAACAAUUGUCAAAAUCAUAACAAACCGAAGGGCUUCUGGAUCAUUUUUUAGAGCCUCCAGGCACACAGAAUUGGCUGUCAAUGUCCCAAACGUUUUUCCCACUCUCAUUCUUUAGAUAAUCCAGUACUUUCUCGUGGUUGUUUCGAUGAAUACUUGGUAAAUGAAGUUUGGCGAUUAGCUGAAGAGGUGCUUGCAGCUUCUUCAGUUAUUUCUUCAAUUGCCACACCUGUGAAAUAACGAGCAAAUAGAAGUGUAAGCAUUAAAGACACAGACACAGACACAGACACAUACAUAUACAUAUUAUAUAUAUGUGAGAGAGAGAAUAUCCAUAAGAAAAUGCAAAAUAUAGGAUGUUAAAUUUACCUUGAGGUGCCUGAUGACUGCCUUCUCUAGCCAAUCUUUCCUCAGCAUCCCUACAUUAACAAUUGACAUCACUAACUACCACGGCGCAUUCAAACAAAAAGUGACUUAUCAGCAAUUUUAUGAAUAAUGGUUAAUAACUAAACUACAUACCAUAAAAGAAAAGAGAAAAAUAAACGACAAUUACAAAAUGCACCUAACGUGUCCCAGCCAAUAAUAAUCAUGACAUGUGUUGGUGCAUAACUACUUCAAAGGUGAAUGCACCUGACUACAACUUAUCCCGUGUUUCCACAAUCUUAACUCAAAUAAAUCAUACCUCAAUACAUCAGCAACUGUUUCAUCACCAGGGUAAACUUCAUGUGCCUUGCUCAAAUCCGAGAUGGCAUCCUAAUAAAUUGCAGAAAGUUAUAAAGCAAACACAUGUGCAGAUUAUUCCAGAAUUUGAAAAUGCAUGCUUGACCUAUAUGCAUAUAAAACCCACUUCUAGUUGGCCCAGUUCUUUGUAUGCUUGACCUCUUCGGUAAAGAGCUUUGACAUUCUUUCCAUCAUCUGACAAAACCAGAAAUAAAAAUUGGUAAGUUCAGCUAGAUAGAAGAUGGAAGACGCAAACUAUUAUAUACUAAAUAUACAAAGAACAUCUAUCUGUUUAUUUAAUUAGUAGCCUAGUCUAGUGACAUUAAAGAGUGUUUUUUUUUCAUAUUAUAUUGGGAUGAGGAUAAUAACUUGAGAAUAUAAUUUAUGAUAAAACCUAUAGUACUGUACCAUGAAAAUAAAGGAAAAACUGGAAUCUUCGUACCUCAGAGCCUUCUUUCAUACAUUCAUCAUAUUGCCUUGUUUUCAAGUAUCAGGACAUCAGAUUAAGAGAGCAUGCCAAUAAAAGUGUUCUUCCAUGGGAGGAAGGAAUUCCUUUAAGGUUUUUCUUUGCCUAAUAUUGUGGAAGAGGAAAUGAAGAUUUUAAUUAAUGACAAUAAAAUACAAAUAAGCUGAGAUAAAUUUUAAGAAAAAAAUGAAAUAUAAAUCGCUGGCUUACAAGCAAAUAUUUCUCAGAGGCAUCAUCAAACCUCCCCUGCUUAUGAAGCUCAUUCCCCUAGAAAACAUAUAGAUAUACUCGCAUGUCUGAUGCUAGUUAAUAAGAGAAAAGAGUAAAUAAACCAGAAAUAUGACAGGGUGAACCAUAAAUUAAAGUUAUAAGACAUUGUUUCCGUUCUUCUGUUAUUUGAAAAUAAUUCCAUGGUGAAAAAGUCUUUUCAAGAUUCAAUGUGUAAAGUUAGUAAUAAUAAUACCAUUAGUUUUUGGAAACUGAUUAACAGAACGAAAGCCAUGCACUCAAGCAGCAAUUGAGGAAAUCAUAUUUUAUUCGAUCACAAGUUGCACCCCUAGCACUGAAUUGCCUCCACAUUUGAGUCAUAAUUGAAUAGUAUCCAUACACAAAUGAUGUCUGGUUUCUUCACAUACACCUCACAUUCAUAUAUUUGACUAACAUAUUUAAGUUAUGCAAAUGCAACCCAAUGAUCAUGUAAACCCGACAGUAUGAUAUUAUCUCAUCAAAGGUUUUACAAUGUAUCCAGUUCUGUAAAACUUCUAAAAGAAAGAGUAUCGCAACUUCUUUCAGCAUCAAGGCUCCUACUGCGUUCUCUCUUUGUUUAAGAAUGUGGAGAAAAAAUCUCUUUCAUGAUGGACAUAUAUUUUAUCUGAGCGAUUGAAAAUCAACAGCAAUGAUGUGAUUUUAGAUGGUAAUAAAACACCUGGUUCUUCAACAUCUGAGCUGCACUUAAUUCAUAACUGAUCUGAGCAACAGCAUGGGUACGCAUGGGAGCUAUCUCUUCAGGCAAUGCUUAGUCAUUUUCUCACCAAUUUCCGCCAUCUCCUCUGGUCGAGUGUGCUUUAACUGUUCUGCAGCAAGUCUCAUGGUCUUCAUGCUUUCUGAGGCCAUUCUCAUCAGAUUAGGAUUAGACAUCAUCUGCAUUGCGCCAACGCCAUUAAAUCCACAAUAAAACAACUACUAAUGUUUGUUGUUCCAAUAGGGUCGGAAGCGUGUAAAUUAUUGUACUAAAAAAUCACACAAAGUUCAAUUCCCAGGGAAGAGAGGUGGAUCACAAGGAUCUCUUAAAUACCAAGUCUUUCCUUAGUCAGAAUAUUCCUUCUAACGUAAUUUAAUAGCACAAUUAAAUACUACUAUUAUACCCUCAAAUAUUGAAAGAAAAAUAGGACAAAAAGAACAUAAGAGUUUUAACGAGGUUCGGUAAAUUAUACCUACGUCCUCGGGCACUAACACCAGAUGAUAACUUUACUAUCUCCAAAAUAUUACAAACAAAUAGAAUUCCUUAAGAAUUCUCAAAUGGGAGAAGAGAGAAAACUAAGAGAGAAAGAUUGGUUGGGAUGGUGUAAAUGAGAAAUGGUUAGGCUUAUUUAUAGUUGAGGUUCAGGGACUAACUUGCAAAUGGCCUAAAAAAUUAGGGACCAAAAUUGUAAUUAUCCCAUUCAACUUUAAACAACUUGCCUACCAUUUUUUUUCUUUCGGUGCCACUUGCACCUCCCAUUUUUUUGACUUUUCAACACCCCUUUUAAUUUGUCUUUUCAACAAUCUCCACCUUGAAGAUUUGAUUAGGAUAAUCACAUCUUCACAUACUUCCUUCAACUCCCCAAAUUCGAUAAAGUUAUCUUUUGUAGUGCCUCCAAAUGCGCUCUCGAGCGCCAUGCACCUAAAGGUGCUCAAAUUCUCAGGAUGUUAAUCAAGUUCAAACAAUGAUUAAACUUGAUUGUUGUUACCACAUUGGUCAUCAUAUCUGCGGGAUUAUCUGCUGUCGGAAUCUUCUGAAGUAGAAUUUUUCCUUUUUCAAAGACUUCCCGCACAAAGUGAUAUCUUACGUCGAUAUGCUUGGUUCUUGAAUGAUAGACUUGAUUUUUCGCUAAAUGAAUAGCGCUCUGACUGUCACAAUAUAAACUUAUGUGACUUUGAACAACUCCUAAAUCUUUCAACAAUCCAUUAAGCCAAAUAGCCUCCUUAACAGCUUCUGUAACUGCCAUAUAUUCUGCCUCUGUAGUAGACACAGCUACUGUAGACUGUAAGGUAGACUUCCA
rnacentral:lncRNA from 1 species